rnacentral:rRNA from 1 species
AGGUUUAGAAACUAACGAGGAUUCCCCUAGUAACUGCGAGUGAAGCGGGAAAAGCUCAAAUUUAAAAUCUGGCGGUCUUUGGCCGUCCGAGUUGUAGUCUGGAGAAGCGUCUUCUGCGCCGGACCGUGUACAAGUCCCUUGGAACAGGGCGUCAUAGAGGGUGAGAAUCCCGUCCAUGACACGGACCGCCGGUGGUUUGUGAUGCGCUCUCGAAGAGUCGAGUUGUUUGGGAAUGCAGCUCAAAAUGGGUGGUAAAUUCCAUCUAAAGCUAAAUACUGGCGAGAGACCGAUAGCGAACAAGUACCGUGAGGGAAAGAUGAAAAGCACUUUGGAAAGAGAGUUAAACAGUACGUGAAAUUGCUGAAAGGGAAACGCUUGAAGUCAGUCGCGUCGGCCGGGGCUCAGCCUUGCAUUCGUUUGCUCGGUUUACUUCCCGGUCGACGGGCCAGCGUCGAUUUUGACCGUCGGAGAAGGGCCAGAGGAAAGUGGCACCUUCGGGUGUGUUAUAGCCUUCGGUCGCAUACGACGGUUGGGAUCGAGGAACGCAGCACGCCUUCAAUGGCCGGGGCAUUCGUGCCCACGCAUCGUGCUUAGGAUGCUGGCGUAAUGGCUUUAAACGACCC